rnacentral:lncRNA from 13 species
GCGAGCGAGUUCGAGCGUGUUUCGAGAGUUUCGUGGAGUGUGGGAAGUGAAGUAAAUUGUCGGGCGUUCGUGCCAACAUUCGUCGUCAGUCGGAUGUAAUGUCGUAUUGUGCAAAGUUGCGUCGCGUUUAACCGUGUUUUGCAUCUUCUUCGCUGCUUGAUAUCUUGAGUUUCUGAUGCAGAAAGAAGAUUAUUGCAAGGAGCAAGUGCAAAUCUUGCAAAGAAAAUAACGCAGCGGAUGCGUGGUGGAUCGUCUCCGAAUCGAAUGGCAUCGCGGAUCAUUUAGUUGAACGUCGCAAUGCUGAGGGGGAUCGGUUCGGGGAUGGAUCGCGAUGUUUAAAACGGUGGCGGACACGGAACGGAUCGGCUCCGGAACGAGUGGCAUUGCGGAUCCUUUAAACGGAACACAACGCAGACCAGAGCGUGGGAACAAAUGGCGUCACAUACUGACUUCAGAUUUUUGUAAAUGAUUAGUCUGCCCAUGAUUUUGGUCGCAAGUGUUUUUCGUGCAAGAGGAGAAGAAGGAAGAGGUCUGAUGAUCUAAAUAUAUUUUGAGAGGAGGAGGAGGCCUGGGAGAGAAGGCAUCAGGCCCCAGCGGAGCAACUUUGGGUAUCGUCGCAGCGUCGUGGCUGAUUAACUCCGCUCGUUGCGCAUCAGGACGGUGCGUGUGGCAGAUACAAUAGGCUGACAUCAGAGAAGGUCGAGGUCCGGAGAGCAGCACAAGAGUACGUCGGGCCGAGAUCACGUUCAGACGCAGCACGAGCGCUCGUGCACUCGCAAUUUUUUUCCAAAAGGAUACUUCAUCAAACGCCAAAGCCACAACAAGAUUUCUACUCAUGCAUUUUUUCGUUGCCUAGGGUACUAUGGCCUACCUAAAGGUUAAUUGAUUUUUAGUGUAUAAAAAAAUAUUUUUUUAAAAUAAUUUUAACGUAAAAUUAUUUAAAAUAAACUUUUAUUGGGGCUGCUCUCGGGCCGUCCGGCAAAACACCCCUCCAAUAUUUGCACUAUAAUCUUUUGUAAAAUAAAUGGAAACAAGAAAAAUGAUUAUGAUCUUGUAGAAUAAUAUUGUUAUAAAAAUUUGACGAAUCGGAUUUCCAAAUUAAAAAAAAAUCAAAAAGCAUUUUAAAGAAAAAAUUCGAUUUUAUUUCGACAAAUUUUGCGACCUUUGAAUGUUUAUAAAAUUGUUAUAAUUGAAAAUUUAAGAAAGUCGUUAAGUCUAGAGAAUUUUAUUUUAUUUUAAGUGAAAACUCGUUUUACUAAAAAAAAAAAAAUGAAAAUUGUUAAAGUUAUCGCAGGUUAAAUUGUUAAAGACCUGCAGAGAUGAAUCCGAAAAUAGUCCUAGUAAGAGUCAAUUUAAAUAAGUCGAAAUAGUUUUAAAAAAAUUAUUUUUUUACACAUUAAUAACCAAUAAAAUGCUCGUUUU